GAGAAAGAAUGCAAGAACUGCUAACUCCUGCUACCAUAUAUAACAAUAUGGCUUCCUCA
rnacentral:tRNA from 3 species